ensembl:lncRNA
AAGAGAGCGAAACAUUCACCCUGAUUCUUGACAUUUACAAGAGCAAUGGUGCGCUUGAUAAAGGAUACGACCAUCCUCAGAAGGAUGAUUUCUCAUCAGUCCUCAAAGAGAACAGCUGGGAGUUGUUGCUUCAGAAGGUGAACGCGUCCCAUUCUGCCACCUACUACUGUUCCUGUCGGACUAGUCGUGUCACACAGUGAGACGUUCUCCUUCCUGCCCGUACAAAAACUCUGGUGAUCACAUGAUCCGGCAGGUCAUGUCUCAUUGGCUGUUCAAUCUACAGCCAGGCGC